rnacentral:rRNA from 1 species
AAUAUCACGUCCGUUUAAAAAAAUCUAUAUUUUUUUGACCUCAAAUCAGACAAGAAUACCCGCUGAACUUAAGCAUAUCAAUAAGCGGAGGAAAAGAAACCAACAGGGAUUGCCUCAGUAGCGGCGAGUGAAGCGGCAAAAGCUCAAAUUUGAAAUCUGGUACUUUCGGUAUCCGAGUUGUAAUUUGUAGAGGUAACUUUGAACAUGAGUCUUGCAUAAGUUCCUUGGAAAAGGACGUCAUAGAGGGUGAGAAUCCCGUUUAUGGUAGGACCCCCAGUUUGUGUAAAGUGCCUUCGAAGAGUCGAGUUGUUUGGGAAUGCAGCUCUAAGUGGGUGGUAAAUUCCAUCUAAAGCUAAAUAUUUGCGAGAGACCGAUAGCGAACAAGUACAGUGAUGGAAAGAUGAAAAGAACUUUGAAAAGAGAGUGAAAAAGUACGUGAAAUUGUUGAAAGGGAAGGGCUUUAAAUCAGACAUGGUAUUCAGUGAUCAGCUUCCUUUCGGGGUUGUGCACUCGCUGUUUACCGGGCCAACAUCAGUUUAGAGGGUAGGAUAAUAGUAAAAGAACGUAGCUUGUUUACAAGUGUUAUAGCUUUUAUUGAUACUACCACUCUGGACUGAGG